AUUUGGACUGACCACUCUUGCAAAAAGGAAGAGAAAAUAGGUGCAUUAAUGAAAUUCUUACAACAGAUGGCAAACUGUCCUUGGAUUCUCCGGUGGGGGAAAAGGGAAAAAAGAAAACUUUCAAAAAAUAUUUUAUAUGAGUUUAUCACACUGAAUCCACUUACUCUGAGGACUCACAGAGAGCUGUGUAAGAGACAUUCACUUAAAUUAUUUAACAGAAGAUGACAGAAAAGAAUUAAAGAAAGAAAUUUUCCUAUCUCAAGUUAAAACAACAAUCUACUCUCAAUCCACGGGUAAAUCUCUGGGUCCAGAUGGCUGCCCAACAGAAUUUUAGCAAACAUUUGGAGAGAUAAUAAGGCCUGUAACAGUAGAUAAUUACUCACUUAUAUAUGGCUCAGUGCCCCCUCAUCUACAUUAGUUUCUAUAGCAGGUUUUUUGCCAAAAGAAAGAAAGCAGACCCCAGCUCUAUUUUCUCAUUUGUAACAUUCUCUUGCUUCACUCUGUGCAGAUGCCAGGAAUCAUCGUUUUUAUUUCAGUGUCCUUACGAAGACCUUUGAGCACAAUGGAACGAUGAGGCAACAUUAAAUAUUACUGGAAUGGGGUAUGAAAGCAGCUACUAGAAAAUCCUGCAAGAAAAAUAGAUGGAGAAACUGAGUGCUAAGAGUCUUGCCUUUUAGCUGUCAACAGUUUGAAGAUGAAACAAAUCUGGAACAGCUGUAGAUGAAAUGGACUUGAGUUAUAGGAUGACUAGAAAGGGCCAGUAGAGAAGAAACAAAAAGUAAACAGAAGAGAAAGGAUCAUUAUUGAAACAUGUUCCCAGAGGAAAUGAGACAAUGAGGAUUUUCACUUUCUCUUUUAUGUCUCUUUUGCACACUUACAGAUUUCUAUUGUGGCAGCUAUUACCCAUUUUUGUUAUGCAUCUGUCUCUUCCCAGACUAUAAAUUAUUUAAGGUGUGAGUCGGAGACCUAGGCAUUUCUUAUGGCCAGAACCUUAAGCAAUGUCUGGGAUAUAGCAGAUAUAACAGACUCUCAGCUAUUGCGUGAAUUAAGGAAUGAGCUUGAGAAAUACUUUUAAGUAUUUUCUUCCUGGAAAAGAGACUCCAACUGUCUUUUGUACAGUGCUUGAAACUCAUACCAUUAAUCACUCUUUGAGACUAAAGCUCUGAUAACCUGAGUGAAGAAUUGGUUACAAGGACGUUACAAUGCACCAUGCUACCUUCAGCCAUUUGUGCUUCUGCAUAAAUUGUUUUGACCGAUUAGCCAAUCAGUCACCAACAAGACCCAAAAGGAAUGAGAAUCUAAACAGAUUGUCACCAUUUGGUGGGUUUGAACACCAAGAGGAUAGAGCCUAGAGCAUUGUGGUCUGCUUUAAGACUUCUGAGAGGCAAUAAGGUAAGGUCUGAAAAACCAAGAGUCGGGAUAAACAAGUCAAUUGUGUAUACAUGGAGGUGGGAUGAAUAAAGAGGAGGAGGGGUUGAUGGAAGAAAACUGCACCCAAAAUUAUCGUGUGUCAAAGGCUGGCUGUGGAGCCGAUCUUACAACCUCAAAUAAUGUGAUCAUACUAUCACUCAGCAUAAUUUGUGCCCCCCAGUUUUGUAUGUCUAGGCUGCUUAGGAAAUUGAUGAAUAACAGAAGAUGCCACUUAUCACUGAGAUGAACCAAGUCAUCCCAGAGGGAGUACUAUUUGAAGAUGUGUGGAACAUUCUGUGAAUAUAGAAAAGGAUCCCAUACCAUGAUUCAAUUCAUGACUGUGGCUAGUAGAGAUCCACAUUUCAUGUUUUGCUAUCCAUGGGAUUUAAAUCUGCUGUCACUCUCCUUCCUAUGCAGCUUAGAUUGCUUGACCUAACAUUACAAUUAAACCUUACAUAAAUGCUAAAUCCUUCUGCCCCUCUGUUCUAUAUUGCUUGUAUCUGGGACAUAUGAUUCAAAUUUGCAUCUCUAUUCAUGUACCCAUAUAUUCAACUAUAACAUUUUUAUUUGGUUAUUAUCUAGGUGCCUAAAAAUCCUUGCAAAACAAUUUAUGAUGUCCUACUGACAAUAUGCCCAUCUUCAAUGAUUUUCUGCUUUCUUUUCCUAUACCUUCUAUUUAUUUUUCUUGGUAUUACCAUUGAUUGGAAACUCCAAAAGAAUGAAUAGAAGAAGUGAUAGUGGACAUCUCCACCUUAUCCGUGACUUGAAUUAAAACGCUUCUAAAAUAUCACCAUUAAAUAUGAUGAUAGUUAUUUAGUAGCUGACACUGCUAGUUUCCUAUGCAGUAUUCAUUACCCCCCUUCCAUCUUACUAAUAGGUAAUUGAUUUUGAAAAGGGCAGCACUAUGUCCAGAUUUUAAAAAAAAUCUUACUUUUUCAAACUCCAUUGCAGCUAAAAUACCAGUACUAGAUAAUGACAUGCAAAUUUAAGGUUUCUGGGAAAUCUUUUUACAUUCUUGACAUAGGCACUGCCCCUCCCCUCUUCCACUUUCUUCUUCUUGCCUAGAAUGCAGAUAUGAUACCUCUAAGAGAAGCAGCCAUCUUUUGCAUCAAAGAUUAUAUAACAGAAAAGUAGAAGAGGCUGGAGACUCUGAUGUCAUGCUUGUGUUGCCAUGCGGUCCUGAACUGCUGCUUCUCAAAGCAUGGAACAAGUGAGGAUUUUCUUAUGUAAGCCCUUUCUGAUAGGAUUUUGAUUGUUCUUUGCUGAAAACAAACCUAACUCAUAUGUACCUGUGGUAGGCAGAAUAAUGGCCUCCCAAAUGUAUUCACAUUCUAAUCUCUAGAAGAUGUGGAUAUAUUAAAAUACAUGGAAAAAGAGAAUUAAAGUUACCAGUGGAAUUAAGAUUGCUAACCUUAGAAUUUAAAAUAGAUACAUUAUCCUGGAUUAUCCAGAGGGGUCUAAUGUUAUCACAAGGGUCUUUGAAAGUGGAAAAGGGAGUUAGAAGAGAAGAUAAGAGUGACGGAGUGUGAGGACUUAACCAGCCAUUACCGGCAUUGAAGAUGGAAGAAGGAGCCACAUGUUAAGAAAAGGGGCAGCCUCUAGCAACUAAAAAAUGCAAUGUAGAUAUUCUCCUAAAGCCUCUAGAAGAAACACAGCCAUGUCAACAACUUGACUUCAGCCCAGUGAGACCUGUACCAAACUUUUAACACAAAAAACUGUAAGAUAAUAAAGGUGUAUGGUUUUAAGCCAAUAUAUUUGUCAUAAUUUGUUAUAGCAGCUCUAAAAAAAAAUCUAAUACAGUACUCUUUGUGAGCUUUAGAAACCUGAAACUUCUGUUGGCUGAGUGUUUUAUCAUAGGCAAAUGUAAAAUUAAAUCAAACGUUUUUCUGAUUUAACCGGGAAAUAAGUAUUAUAUGGAGUCUCGCCCUGUCGCCCAGGCUAGAGUGCAGUGGUGCGAUCUUAUCUAACUGCCAGCUCCGCCGUCAGGUUGGGUUUAGUGACUUUCACAGAGUCACACAGGAGGCAUACAGAAUCGGAAAACAUGCCUUGACUCCCUGCUCCAUUGCUCUCUAGCUAUAAAACCUUAUUUCCUUUGUUCUACUUUCAGGAGCCCUGAGAGAAGCUGAGGGCUUCAAGCAAUGAGAUUUGAGCCUACCUCCCUUCAUCAAAAGUGCAGCUAGAAAAACUUGGAGAAGCAACCAGAACGGGAGUUGGGAGGGUAAUACUUUUACAUCAAAACAACACUAGCUUUAUUGGCUGUAAUAAGAGCAAAGUAUGUAAGUAGAAAUGAUAUUAAUCUGUCAUGCAUAUCACUUCUCAAGUGGUUCCUCAACAAUAGUGUUAAUCAAGCUUUGCCCUACUUUUAUCGGAAACCUGGUGAAGAAUAGCUUUGACAUUUAUCAGACAUAGGACACUAAGAAAAUUGCCAUAUGUAUAAAUAAAUUUAUGCCUUGAAAAUGUUUGUGCCAUGCUCUGGGAAAGGGGGUCAGGAACAAAUGAGAGGGUAGAGGUAGAAGGGAAAGGUCUGCAGAAUGUGGAGGUGAGAAGGAAAGAAGAAAAGGGUUGGGCAUGGAGGGAGGUAACAUCAGGGCUAAACCUAAUAGGCCUGGGGAGACUCCAGAGAUUCAGGCAGUUAAGUUUCUCUCCUUUUUUUUUUUUCUGGUGUUCUCAUUUUCAUUUGGGUGGCUUUGGGCAAGUCUUUCUUAAUCUCAGAUGGUGCUAACACUUUCAUCCAACUGAGGAAUCAAUAACAUGACAGGCUUAAAAGUGUUUUGCUA
rnacentral:lncRNA from 1 species